rnacentral:lncRNA from 1 species
AUUCAGUUUGCUGCAUUUUCUUUUCUGACUUUGGCAUAAAUUUCCUAUGGGUCUUUACAAAAAAACAGAGAAAGUAAUUUCUGAAGAUUGGUCACAUCAAUGUAAUUACCUGAGUGUGUUACAGGACAUAGAUGCAGAAGAAAGUAGGAAUAAUGGAAAUCAAGCUCCCUUCUCAGGAUAAAGCUGACUCUUCACAUCUAUCAAGGCAAGCACAACUGGUUACAAACACAACUUUCACGUUCAAUAGGACUUUCCUCCAGCUUAUUUCCAAU